rnacentral:rRNA from 1 species
GACGAACGCUGGCGGCGUGCUUAACACAUGCAAGUCGAACGGAAAGGCCCUGCUUUUGUGGGGUGCUCGAGUGGCGAACGGGUGGGUAACACGUGAGUAGCCUGCCCUUGACUUUGGGAUAACUUCAGGAAACUGGGGCUAAUACCGGAUAGGAGCUCCUGCUGCAUGGUGGGGAUUGGAAAGUUUCGGCGGUUGGGGAUGGACUCGCGGCUUAUCAGCUUGUUGGUGGGGUAGUGGCUUACCAAGGCUUUGACGGGUAGCCGGCCUGAGAGGGUGACCGGCCACAUUGGGACUGAGAUACGGCCCAGACUCCUACGGGAGGCAGCAGUGGGGAAUAUUGCACAAUGGGCGGAAGCCUGAUGCAGCAACGCCGCGUGCGGGAUGACGGCCUUCGGGUUGUAAACCGCUUUCGCCUGUGACGAAGCGUGAGUGACGGUAAUGGGUAAAGAAGCACCGGCUAACUACGU